rnacentral:rRNA from 1 species
UACGAAGGGUGCAAGCGUUACUCGGAAUUACUGGGCGAAAGCGUGCGUAGGUGGUUUGUUAAGUCUGAUGUGAAAGCCCUGGGCUCAACCUGGGAAUUGCAUUGGAUACUGGCAGGCUAGAGUGCGGUAGAGGAUGGCGGAAUUCCCGGUGUAGCAGUGAAAUGCGUAGAGAUCGGGAGGAACAUCUGUGGCGAAGGCGGCCAUCUGGACCAGCACUGACACUGAGGCACGAAAGCGUGGGGAG